CUUUAUCUCUUGCUUUUCAUUGCAGUCCCUUUAUCUCUUGCUUUUCAUCGGAUAAAGGGACUGUGAUGAAAAACAAGAGAUAAAGG
rnacentral:pre_miRNA from 1 species